rnacentral:rRNA from 1 species
CAUCAUCUCUGCCUGAGCUCACUACCACUACUAUUGCUAGCUUGAUCGAGAUGGCCCGUUCUGCUGUUGCUCAGGUCGUGCUCGUCGCCGUGGUGGCCGCUAUGCUCCUCGCAGUCACGGAGGCGGCUGUAUCGUGCGGUCAGGUGAGCUCUGCCUUGAGCCCCUGCAUCUCCUAUGCACGCGGCAACGGCGCCAGCCCAUCUGCGGCCUGCUGCAGCGGCGUUAGGAGUCUAGCCAGCUCAGCCCGGAGCACCGCUGACAAGCAAGCGGCGUGCAAGUGCAUCAAGAGCGCUGCUGCUGGGCUCAACGCUGGCAAGGCCGCCGGCAUCCCCACAAAGUGCGGCGUUAGCGUCCCCUACGCCAUCAGCUCUUCGGUCGACUGCUCUAAGAUUCGCUGAUCGAGCACUUGCUGCCAUCGUUGUUGCUAUCGUACGUCCCCUACGCCAUCGUUGCUGGAUCUACGCUUAGUACGUUGAGGUCACACACACGCACACACACAUAUAUAUAUGAAUAAAUGCUCUCAUAUUAUCUCACUGCGUGAGAGAGAGAGGAGUACGUACGUCAAGCAGCUCUGCAUGGCCGGCCCGAGUUUGGUUGUUCCUCCACUCCCCGAGUAUGCUGUACUUUGUACCAUGUGUAAUUUUGAUAUAUGGAUUGUAUACUCAGCUGAUCAGCUCUACUUGCGUGCGCAUGUUAUUCAGCACUUUUGAUAUAUGCAAGACUGGG